UUUAUUGGAGAGUUUGAUCCUGGCUCAGGACGAACGCUGGCGGCGUGCCUAAUACAUGCAAGUCGAGCGGACUUGAGGGAGCUUGCUCCCGAUGGUCAGCGGCGGACGGGUGAGUAACACGUGGGCAACCUGCCUGUAAGACUGGGAUAACUCCGGGAAACCGGGGCUAAUACCGGAUAAUUCAUUCCCUCACAUGAGGGAAUGCUGAAAGACGGCUUUUGCUGUCACUUACAGAUGGGCCCGCGGCGCAUUAGCUAGUUGGUGAGGUAACGGCUCACCAAGGCCACGAUGCGUAGCCGACCUGAGAGGGUGAUCGGCCACACUGGGACUGAGACACGGCCCAGACUCCUACGGGAGGCAGCAGUAGGGAAUCUUCCGCAAUGGACGAAAGUCUGACGGAGCAACGCCGCGUGAGCGAAGAAGGCCUUCGGGUCGUAAAGCUCUGUUGUCAGGGAAGAACAAGUACCGGAGUAACUGCCGGUACCUUGACGGUACCUGACCAGAAAGCCACGGCUAACUACGUGCCAGCAGCCGCGGUAA
rnacentral:rRNA from 2 species